CUUAAGUAUUUCUCUAAUGCCACUCUCCUUUGCUCCACAAACUCCUGCUUCUGCAUUACUUGGCUCUCCACCACAUUCUUGUCCGGCCUCGGCGGAAUAAAAAACCCUCGAUAUGACUCUGCCAAUCGAUCUGAUAAAGUAACCACGUCUUUAAAUCGCCUCCUUACGCUAAAUUCAGAUCCGUUAUGUCCCGGUAUGUUCGUUCUCGUCGUGAUUAGAUACGUAACAUAAGUGUUACUUCCUGGAACGAGAGAAUUAGAAGUUUCUUGCUCCUUCUGUGGAUUCGAGACAGUUAUUUUGACAUAAUCGGAGCUGGAGGACGUUGACUUUGAGAGAAAACCCGAAGAAUCGGAGGACCGGCCGGGGCUAUCAACGCCGUUGAUUUCAUUGACGGCGUUUUCAUCGAACGGACUGAAAAUGACAUCGGAAUAGGACGGCGGUUCGAUGUAAGACGAGUUAUCGGUUGCGACGUUAGGGUUUCGGAAAUCACGAA
rnacentral:misc_RNA from 1 species